GGACUCAUGAUCAGAGAAUCCUAAUUCUUGAUCACAGAGUCCCAGAGACGUAGAACUCAUAGUCCAUGAGCAUUAGGACUCUUCAUCAGCCAUCAGAUCAGAUAGGAACCUCUAAUGUGUGUGACCCCACAGGUUCGAACCUAAGCUGGUAGCACAGGAAUCAAUUCUUGUACUAAUCGAAGUGACCAUCUAGCAAUGGUACCCGAUGAUCGGAUAGG
rnacentral:lncRNA from 1 species